rnacentral:rRNA from 1 species
UAGGGAAUCUUCGGCAAUGGACGAAAGUCUGACCGAGCAACGCCGCGUGAGUGAAGAAGGUUUUCGGAUCGUAAAACUCUGUUGUUAGAGAAGAACAAGGACGUUAGUAACUGAACGUCCCCUGACGGUAUCUAACCAGAAAGCCACGGCUAACUACGUGCCAGCAGCCGCGGUAAUACGUAGGUGGCAAGCGUUGUCCGGAUUUAUUGGGCGUAAAGCGAGCGCAGGCGGUUUCUUAAGUCUGAUGUGAAAGCCCCCGUCUCAACCGGGGAGGGUCAUUGGAAACUGGGAGACUUGAGUGAAGAAGAGGAGAGUGGAAUUCCAUGUGUAGCGGUGAAAUGCGUAGAUAUAUGGAGGAACACCAGUGGCGAAGGCGGCUCUCUGGUCUGUAACUGACGCUGAGGCUCGAAAGCGUGGGGAGCAAACAGG